ACAUGCAAGUGGUAGGAAGCCGAAAGGUGACCGACCUUCGGGAGCUUGCACAGGUGCUGCAUGGCUGUCGUCAGCUCGUGUCGUGAGAUGUUCGGUUAAGUCCGCUAACGAGCGCAACCCUCGCUGUGUGUUAUAUGUGUCACACGGGACUGCCGGUCUUAAGCCGGAGGAAGGUGGGGAUGAUGUCAAGUCAGCAUGGCCUUUAUAUCCUGGGCUACACACACGUUACAAUGGCCAACACAAUAGGUUGCUAAGCCGCGAGGUGGCGCCAAUCCAUAAAGUUGGUCUCAGUUCAGAUUGUAGGCUGCAACCCGCCUGCAUGAAGAUGGAGUUGCUAGUAACCGCAGGUCAGCUAUACUGCGGUGAAUACGUUCCCGGGGCUU
rnacentral:rRNA from 1 species